UCAGCUGUUGGUAUCCAAUCUGACCAGGCCUCGAUUAUCUCUGUUGUGGACUUAAGUAUCUCGGCAACGCAGAAGGUAUUAUAGUCAGUACCUGAUAGACUUGGAUAGAGCUUGCCUAGCCCUGAUUAUUUAAUUUCAGUGACAUUAAUAUUGCCUAUUUUGUUCUGAAUUUUCCUCUACUUAGGUAUAAUUCAUAUCUCAGUAAAACAAAUUUCGUUUCUAGAAAGAAUCCAACCAGCCUGCUGAAUGCAAGCAGCAAUAGAAGCGUGGUACCAAGAAAACACCACUGCCUAGAGACUGAUGCCAUAUGAUAAAGUGUAUCUAAAAUACUCUUGUGCAGUUGAGGUGAUUCCCCCACCCCUCCCCUACUGCAGCACAAUCUUAUUAAGCUAAACACUAUGUUUUAAAAUGCAUGGGUUGCUCUUUAACUUCAGAUUUUCUUUUUCCUACUUUUGGCUUACUUUUACAGUGGAAAAAUUACAAAAAUCUCUACUUCAAAAUACAAGAGAGUUUAAGACUGUAAGAUAAAGCAAGCAUGCACUCUGCAGCCUAAACACUGGUAUUUUGAAAUGUAGUGAGUGUUACACGCUUGUCACUUGCAAAUAGGGGCAGCAUUGCUCAGUGAGUCAGUAGUGAUGUUCAUGGACUUCUGAGGUGCAUCUUUCCUGUGCUGCCCAAUGUUUGUGAGCAGCCACUUAGUUUAUAGUUAAGCAUUUCCUUUGCCAUGAAGAAUUUAUAUUUAAAUGCAUUUCAGAAGCUUAAUUUUUGACCCAAUGUGACUGCACUGUGGUCAUCAUUGCUGUUUUACUCCAAUAUAGUAAUGGUUAACAGAAAUAUGUGUACCGAGAGGCUGCUCUGAAAUGUUGUGGCCACAAACUUAUUUAUUACCGUUACACACAACUUACUAACCAGCACGUCGGAAAAAAAAAACUUAUUACCUGGGCACAUUAUUUCCAGUUGCAGCCACUUCAUCUCCAGAAAAGAUGCACAUUAAGAUGCUGUGAGAGUCAUUGCCAGUUUCCUGUGGAAGUAAAAUCUUUAACACAGAUCUAUUUUUUUUUUUAUUUUUAUUAAUUGAGUGUCCAGCACACACAGCACUGUGUCCAGGCAUAGAGUGCUCCAGCCUUACCUUGUUCUACACAGUUGUAAUGUACCUUAAUAUGCUGUUUUCAAUUUGUACAGAAUAGCCAGAGUAUUCUAAUAAAGUUGUGCAACAUUAA